rnacentral:rRNA from 1 species
AUACGAAGGGGGCUAGCGUUGUUCGGAAUUACGGGGCGUAAAGCGCGCGUAGGCGGAUUGGUCAGUUAGGGGUGAAAUCCCAGGGCUUAACCCUGGAACUGCCUCUAAUACUGCCAGUCUUGAGUUCGGGAGAGGUGAGUGGAAUUCCUAGUGUAGAGGUGAAAUUCGUAGAUAUUAGGAAGAACACCAGUGGCGAAGGCGGCUCACUGGCCCGAUACUGACGCUGAGGCGCGAAAGCGUGGGGAGCAAACAGGAUUAGAAACCCCAGUAGUCC